rnacentral:rRNA from 1 species
CUACGGAGGGUGCGAGCGUUAAUCGGAAUUACUGGGCGUAAAGGGUGCGUAGGCGGCUUGAUAAGUCGAAUGUGAAAGCCCCGGGCUUAACCUGGGAAUUGCAUUCGAUACUGUCAGGCUAGAGUAUGUCAGAGGUUGGCGGAAUUCCUGGUGUAGCGGUGAAAUGCGUAGAUAUCAGGAGGAACACCAGUGGCGAAGGCGGCUAACUGGGACAAUAUUGACGCUGAGGCACGAAAGCGUGGGGAGCAAACAGGAUUAGAAACCCUAGUAGUCC